GGUGGAGCAGCCUGGUAGCUCGUCGGGCUCAUAACCCGAAGGUCGUCGGUUCAAAUCCGGCCC
rnacentral:tRNA from 25 species